CCUACGGGAGGCAGCAGUGAGGAAUAUUGGUCAAUGGACGAGAGUCUGAACCAGCCAAGUAGCGUGAAGGAUGACUGCCCUAUGGGUUGUAAACUUCUUUUAUAUGGGAAUAACAUGUUCCACGUGUGGGAUUUUGUAUGUACCAUAUGAAUAAGGAUCGGCUAACUCCGUGCCAGCAGCCGCGGUAAUACGGAGGAUCCGAGCGUUAUCCGGAUUUAUUGGGUUUAAAGGGAGCGUAGGUGGAUUGUUAAGUCAGUUGUGAAAGUUUGCGGCUCAACCGUAACAUUGCAGUUGAAACUGGCAGUCUUGAGUACAGUAGAGGUGGGCGGAAUUCGUGGUGUAGCGGUGAAAUGCUUAGAUAUCACGAAGAACUCCGAUUGCGAAGGCAGUUCACUGGACUGCAACUGACACUGAGGCUCGAAAGUGUGGGUAUCAAACAGGAUUAGAUACCCGAGUAGUC
rnacentral:rRNA from 1 species